GACAGACAGACAGACAGACGGGGAGAAACGGUUGCGAAAGAUAGAUAGACUCCUCAAUGCAAAGUGCAUUUUGAACCGCCAUUUCUACGCGCCCAGCACUGCUGUUCGGCGGGGAUCCUCAAACAGGCUGUUCAACACCCCGAAAAUUUCUUCUUGAGAGGCAUGCUGGGUCUGCCUCUCUCCGGACGGCUGCCGCCCAGACGCGUGUUGCCGCGUAAAAAUGUGCAAUGGCGCUGUGGUCAACGCCAGUGUCAAGGAGCACGUUGACGGCUGUUGGAAUUGCUGAGCUCUGUGGGUCUCCUUUACAGCUUUGUAUUCAAACUGAGUGGUCCGUCUGGACGGAGCAACAUGCUGCAAGGUGCAACUGGAGAUCGCAAGGCUGCCAACUUUACAGCAAUGCGGUUGGUCAGCAGUUUGAUUCAUCAUCGGCGUUAUCAGCUCUCAGCUUCAAAAGGAUCAUGUCAAUCCACAGCGCACACCCGAUGGACUACUUUUGAGUCUUCAAACAGAAAUUAUGACAGCAUCUGUUAAAAGUGCCUGUUUCCUGAACUGUUUUUAUGAGACUCCAUCCCACCUGUCUUCAGUGAUGUCUGGACUCAGUGACUUGGACACCAGCCUUGUCAUGGCUAAUUAAAGAGAUGAUCAUGCCAGUCCACAGUGAACACCUGAUGGACGUGUGACUCCUAAAGCAGAGGCAAUGACAGCACAUACUUCAAGUUCCAGUUUCUUGAACAUUAUGUCCUUGUGAGGCUGUCCCAUUUUGAGCGCCCUCUGUUUUUUGCAGUAUAAUGUUGGAAC